GAGUUUGAUCAUGGCUCAGAACGAACGCUGGCGGCGUGUUUAAGACAUGCAAGUCGCACGGGGAUAUUUUGGUAGUAAUACUUGAAUAUUCUAGUGGCGCACGGGUGAGUAACACGUGAAUUACAUGCCCUUCAGUGGGGAAUAGCCCAGGGAAACUUGGAUUAAUACCCCAUGGUAUCGCAAGAUUAAAGGUGGCCGCAAGGCUGCCGCUGAAGGAUUGGUUCGCGCCCUAUCAGCUUGUUGGUGAGGUAACGGCUCACCAAGGCUACGACGGGUACCUGGUUUGAGAGGACGAUCAGGCACACUGGAACUGAGACACGGUCCAGACACCUACGGGUGGCAGCAGUCGAGAAUAAUUCACAAUGGGGGCAACCCUGAUGGUGCAACGCCGCGUGGAGGAUGACGGUCUUCGGAUUGUAACUCCUGUCAUCCGGGAGUAAGACCUGGCGAUUAAUAGUCGACAGGGUUGAUAGUACCGGAAGAGGAAGGGACGGCUAACUUCGUGCCAGCAGCAGCCGC
rnacentral:rRNA from 1 species